rnacentral:lncRNA from 1 species
GGAAAAUGCAGAGCUUCUAACAUUGAGCUUUCAUGAUCAACAUUUUUUAAUGGUGAGAUUAUUGUGAAAUAAACACUGGAGAGGCUUGGUAGUAUUCCAGGCUAAGUAGCACGAAAGGAGGUAUAUCCAUCACUAAUAGUUCAGUAACUUCUUGCACGAAAUGUUUCGUUUUAAAAGAUGCAGGUGGAGGACAAUUAAUUAUUUGAGCAAUGUAUUUUAUAAUAUUUUAUAUUAUUUAAUAUUUAUAAUACAUACUCAAACCUCAUAAUUAAAAUUAAACGUUCUGUCUUAACAGUGUAUGACUGACUUGCGAGGAUUACUUUCAGGACCACCUUAACUGUCACGUGUUCUAUUUUUCCACACAGCUGUGACAGAAAUCAUGACUGAUGAGUAAAAGCCCCUAACACCGACCCUUUGAGGACUGUCAGAUUUUAUGAGCUAAUGCUAAGUCUGUACUCAUUUUGUAAAACACUGAGUAAAUUUUCAGACACUGUAAAAAAACCCCACAGAGAUGAAGUAAAAUAUGUUAAUAACCUGAAACAGUUGCACAGUGAAGAAAGUAUCACAGAGGAAGAAAGUAGGUGGGGUUCUGAAGUCAAGAGCAAGACGGCUAAUUUCAGGAUUUAUUCCUAUUUGGAAGAAAAUGGAGGUGCAGCGCUGCUGACAAAUCUGCUAAGCCAAGUGUUUUGUUCCUCAUGAGUAAGUAAGAUGAAGUAAAAUGUGCAGAGUGGGAGCGGCAGGCUGAGG